CAAGGCUUGACAUAUAGAGGAAAAGUGCAGAGAUGCUCUCCCCGCAAGGUCUCUAUACAGGUGGUGCAUGGUUGUCGUCAGCUCGUGUCGUGAGAUGUUGGGUUAAGUCCCGCAACGAGCGCAACCCUCGUCGUAUGUUGCCAGCGGAUAAUGCCGGGGACUCAUACGAGACUGCCGGGGUCAACUCGGAGGAAGGUGGGGACGACGUCAAGUCAUCAUGCCCCUUAUGUCUAGGGCUGCACGCAUGCUACAAUGGCUGGUACAGAGGGCAGCAAUACCGCAAGGUGGAGCGAAUCCCAGAAAGCCGGUCUCAGUUCGGAUUGAGGUCUGCAACUCGACCUCAUGAAGUCGGAGUCGCUAGUAAUCGUAGAUCAGCGUGCCACGGUGAAUGCGUUCCCGGGUCUUGUA
rnacentral:rRNA from 1 species